UGCAAGUCUGGUACUCCAAUUACUUUGUCUCCAGUAUUAAUUUGAGAGAUUCUUGAUAAUCAAUCACAUUCAUUAGUAGACUCAAUUUCAAAAUCAUUUUGAGCCAAAAAACUAACUUUUCUUUUUUCAUGCUUCUAUUUUACUGCAUAGCAAAGCAUUACCAAACACUGAUAAUAACCCCACAUUUCCAUCCCAAGAUUUCAUGUUUUCUUUGUUGAGAUUUCUCUUUGCCUUUUACUUCAAAGGAAGGUUUCCUUUAGGCAUAUGCUUCAAUUAAGGAAGGUCUAUUUUCCCAUUUCUAAAAGGGUCCUUUUUUUGUUUUCUUGGUAUUUUUGCAUAUUUGAGAAAUGGGAUUCUUGAUUUGAAAAUGGCUUCAUUUCCCAAAUGGGGUUUGGGGAUUUUAGGAGUAUAAGAGAUCUGGGGUUUGGAUUUUUCUUCAUUGUAGUGAGUAGAGGUUGUGUGUAGUGUUGGUAGAGGCUUACUUCUACUUGUGGGAUCUCAUCAUAAAUAGGUUUCAAUAAGAUGGCAUCUGACCUUAAUUUCGAACUGUCUAAGAAAACUCAUAUAUUUCAUCUCAAGGUGUGGGUUUUAUUAGCCAUCUUUGUUGGACUUUUUAUUGUGGUAAUUCUUUUGCUGCUGCCGUUUUGUUCUUCUCGUAAAAAAUCAAGAAAAUCUCAUGAUACACUACCCAUAAGCAAAAUUCCUUCUGUGUGCAAAGAAAUAAGAGUUGAUCAAAACUCAGCAAGCAACUAUGGGAGCCACUAUAGGAAUCCCCUUGCAUUUCAAGACACAUACUGUGAGAAAGAUUCCGAUAAGCUUUUGGCACAUUCAAAUAUUGACAAGAUGAAAGAUUUUGACAUUAAUAGUCAAUCAGGCUCAUUUAAUUAUUUAGACAAAGACAGAACAUUUGAGUCCGGGGAAAAGGGAGUUGCCGGAACAGUAAAUCAUCCUUCACAUCCUGCGAAUGUCCCGUCCCCUCUCUCUGGUUUGCCUGAGUUCUCUCACCUAGGUUGGGGGCCAUUGGUUUACUCUGAGGGACCUUGAAACUGCAACCAACAAGAUAGCUAAGGGUAACAUCAUUGGAGAGGGUGGUUAUGGCAUUGUUUACCGGGGACAGCUGAUUAACGGAACUGAAGUUGCUGUUAAAAAACUAUUGAAUAAUCUAGGACAAGCAGAGAAAGAAUUUCAAGUGGAAGUUGAGGCCAUCGGUCAUGUCCGACAUAAGAAUUUGGUUAGACUUUUGGGCUACUGUAUUGAAGGAACUCACAGGUUACUGGUUUAUGAGUGCGUAAACAAUGGGAAUUUAGAGCAGUGGCUACAUGGAGCUAUGCAACAACACGGAUAUCUUACAUGGGAAGCACGGAUGAAGAUUCUCCUUGGCACUGCUAAAGCUCUUGCAUAUUUACACGAGGCAAUUGAGCCCAAGGUGGUGCAUCGUGACAUCAAGUCAAGCAACAUAUUGAUAGAUGAUGACUUCAAUGCAAAAAUUUCUGAUUUUGGCCUGGCCAAGUUGCUAGGUGCAGGGAAGAGUCACAUUACAACCAGAGUUAUGGGCACCUUCGGAUAUGUAGCUCCUGAGUAUGCAAAUAGUGGUCUCCUGAAUGAAAAGAGUGAUGUGUACAGCUACGGUGUUGUGCUUCUGGAAGCCAUCACUGGAAGAGAUCCUGUGGAUUAUGGUCGCCCUGCUCCCGAGGUGAAUCUUGUUGACUGGCUCAAGAUGAUGGUUGGCAGCAAACGCUCGGAGGAAGUAGUUGAUCCAACAAUCGAAACAAAGCCUUCCACAACCGCCCUUAAACGAGCUCUACUGACUACUUUAAGAUGUCUUGAUCCAGAUUCUGAUAAGAGGCCAACAAUGAGUCAAGUCGUUCGAAUGCUUGAAUCUGAGGAAUAUCCGAUACCACGAGAGGGACGAAGACGGAGAAAGAAUCAGGCAGGUGCUGUAGAAACAGAAUCUCAUAAUCGGAAGUCUACAGAUAGCAGUGAUAGACCAAUUUUGAUGACGAAAACUAGAAGCGAUCAUCGAACAAAUGCAUAAACUUGAACUACAAAAGUUACAGUGAGCUGAAAUGAUUGGAAUGGCACAAAAAAGAGCCAUAUACAUACAUAUAUGUAUUUUCUUCCAUUUGGUAUGUCUUACAGUAUGGUAGUAGAUGUUUGAGAUAAUCAUUUUUUGUGUGUAUGAAAGUCAGAGUCACUGAGUUGGUAUAUAAAAAUUCCUCAUUUUUGACUCUGUUCUUUACAGAUAUGGGUAAUGUAUAGAUAGUUGACAACUUGACAUGCCCUUUCAGCAAAAGAGAUGUAAAAGGUUUCAUUUGUGAUUGUUUAUGAAGAAAACCAUUAGUUUUUGUUCUAUUUU